rnacentral:rRNA from 1 species
GCAUAUCAAUAAGCGGAGGAAAAGAAACUAACAAGGAUUCCCCUAGUAACGGCGAGUGAAGCGGGAAGAGCACAAAUUUAAAAUCUACCUGGUUUUCAGGUCGAGUUGUAAUUUGAAGAAACGUUUUUGACGUUCCGAGUUGGGAUAAAUCCUUUGGGAUGAGGUAUCAUGGAGGGUGAGAAUCCCGUGUAUACCAACCGCAGGGAUGUUAUUUAAUACGUUUUCUAAGAGUCGAGUUGUUUGGGAAUGCAGCUCUAAAUGGGUGGUAAAUUUCACCUAAUGCUAAAUAUAAGCGAGAGACCGAUAGCGAACAAGUACCGUGAGGGAAAGAUGAAAAGAACUUUGAAAAGAGAGUUAAAUAGUACGUGAAAUUGUUGAAAGGGAAACGAUUGAAGUCAGUCAUGCCGGCGGGAAUCAACUUAGGGGAAACUCUAAGUGCACUUCACGUUUGGCAGGUCAGCGUCGAUUUUGGAUAUCAUAAAAUGAUUGGGGGAAGGUAGCUCCUUCGGGAGUGUUAUAGCCCUUGAUAGAUGUGAUGUCUGGGAUCGAGGAUUGCAACGGAUACCCUUUGGGCUAGCCGCCUGAUCUCUAGCUGGUGUUAGGUUACGGACAGCAUGCUGACCGUGAUUAAUUACUGGUUAAAAGGUUAGAGCGAGUGUAAAUUCGUUAAGGAUGUUGACGUAAUGG